CAUCACUACGCUAGAUGCAUAUCAAUAAGCGGAGGAAAAGAAACUAACAAGGAUUCCCUUAGUAACGGCGAGUGAAGCGGGAAGAGCUCAAAUUUGAAAUCUUCAAGGUUCUACCUUGACGAAUUGUAGUUUAUAGAAGUGUUUUCUGUUAGUAGAGUGGCAAAAGUUCUUUGGAAUAGGACAUCAUAGAGGGUGAGAAUCCCGUAUUUGGUCAUUCUUUCUAGCUUUGUGAUACACUUUCAACGAGUCGGAUUGUUUGGGAAUGCAGUCCAAAAUGGGUGGUAAAUUUCAUCUAAAGCUAAAUAUUGGCGAGAGACCGAUAGCGAACAAGUACCGUGAGGGAAAGAUGAAAAGAACUUUGAAAAGAGAGUUAAACAGUACGUGAAAUUGUCAAAAGGGAAGCGUUUGACACCAGUGUUGUUUUUCCGAAAAUCAAUUACGAAUGUUUUGUUUUUGAGGAGUUAUGACUUCAUCGGCUUGCUCCUUUCUUUAUGAAACUUUCUUAAUGCACUUUUCGGUUAACAAGUCAACAUCAAUUUCUUUUGUUGUAAAAGGGUAUGAGGAAGGUGGCUUACUCUUUCGGCGUAAAGUGUUUAUAGCCUUGUAGCCUCUGCAAUCGGAGAGAUUGAGGACAGCAGCGUAGACUCUUCGGGGUUAGAUACACUUGUACCAAGCUAUAGCCUUGUAUAGACAACUUGUUGACUAUGCUCAGUCAUGUAGCUUACUCGCUUGUGCUAUUUUACCUACGCUUAGGAUGUUGAUCUCUCACAGUCGAGC
rnacentral:rRNA from 1 species